GAUGAAUGCUGGCGGCGUGCCUAAUACAUGCAAGUCGAGCGGUAAGGCCCUUCGGGGUACACGAGCGGCGGACGGCUGAGUAACGCGUGGGAACAUGCCCCAAAGUGAGGGAUAACGCACCGAAAGGUGUGCUAAUACCGCAUAUGGUCUUCGGAUUAAAGGAUUUAUCCGCUUUGGGAGUGGCCCGCGUACGAUUAGACUGUUGGUGAGGUAACGGCUCACCAAGUCGACGAUCGUUAACUGGUCUGAGAGGAUGAUCAGUCAGACUGGAACUGAGACACGGUCCAGACUCCUACGGGAGGCAGCAGUAAGGAAUCUUCCACAAUGGGCGAAAGCCUGAUGGAGCAACGCCGCGUGCAGGAUGAAGGCCCUCGGGUCGUAAACUGCUUUUAUGAGUGAAGAAUAUGACGGUAACGUCAUGAAUAAGCACCGGCUAACUACGUGCCAGCAGCCGCGGUAA
rnacentral:rRNA from 1 species